rnacentral:rRNA from 1 species
UACGUAGGGACCAAGCGUUUGUUCGGAUUUACUGGGCGUAAAGGGCGCGUAGGCGGCGCGGUAAGUCACUUGUGAAAUCUCUGAGCUUAACUCAGAACGGCCAAGUGAUACUGCAGUGCUAGAGUGUGGAAGGGGCAAUCGGAAUUCUUGGUGUAGCGGUGAAAUGCGUAGAUAUCAAGAGGAACACCUGAGGUGAAGACGGGUUGCUGGGCCAACACUGACGUGAGGUGCGAAAGCCAGGGGAGCAAACGGG